UACGAGGGGGGCGAGCGUUGUUCGGAAUUAUUGGGCGUAAAGGGGGCGUAGGCGGUUUGGUAAGUCUGAUGUGAAAUCUAUGGGCUCAACUCAUAGUCUGCAUCGGAAACUGCCGGGCUUGAGUAUGGGAGAGGUGAGUGGAAUUCCUGGUGUAGCGGUGAAAUGCGUAGAUAUCAGGAGGAACACCUGUGGCGAAAGCGGCUCACUGGACCAUAACUGACGCUGAUGCACGAAAGCUAGGGGAGCAAACAGG
rnacentral:rRNA from 1 species